rnacentral:lncRNA from 10 species
GUUGCUCAAUGAAAGAAAAGAAAUUGCCCAAAAUCCAAGUUGACAAGAUAAUGCCAUUUACAAAUGGUGCACAAAACCCGCAGAGAUCAUCAACUUAGGGCACCAAGAUUUACACUUUAAUCAUCAGCAAUUUAUCUUACUGAUAACUCAAUCAACUUGGAUAUUUCUCACCAUUGACUUAAGAAAGCAGAGCAGACACUGUGCUGGGGACUUUGAGCAAUGCAGAGGAAUGGAGAAUGCCCCCCAAGAACUUAGAAGAGAUGGACAUUUGCAUUAUUCUCUGUAAUGACUGCACAGUGUGAGUCCAGCCUACAAAAGGCCACCGAGUUGAUUGAUUCGGAAGUUC